UGGGGAAUUUUGCGCAAUGGGGGGAACCCUGACGCAGCAACGCCGUGUGAGUGAAGACGCCUUUCGGGGUGUAAAGCUCUGUCAGGAGGGACGAAGUGCGAUGGGGUGAAGAGCCUCAUGGUUUGACGGUACCUUCAGAGGAAGCCCCGGCUAACUCCGUGCCAGCAGCCGCGGUAAGACGGAGGGGGCAAGCGUUGUUCGGAAUUACUGGGCGUAAAGCGCGCGUAGGCGGCGGGCCAAGUGUCACGUGAAAGCCCUCGGCUCAACCGAGGAAGGGCGUGGCAAACUGGUGGGCUAGAGUGCCGGAGGGGGAUGCGGAAUUCCUGGUGGAGCGGUGAAAUGCGUAGAGAUCAGGAAGAACGUCGGUGGCGAAGGCGGCAUCCUGGACGGACACUGACGCUGAGGUGCGAGAGCGUGGGGAGCGAACGGGAUUAGAUACCCCCGUAGUCC
rnacentral:rRNA from 1 species